GCAUGCGGCUGCCAGGAGCGAGUGUGCAUGAAUUUACAGCAUCAGUGCUUGGAGCGUCUGAGGAUUGCAGCACAAGACCAGGAGUUCAUAAACUUUUAUGGAGCUUCACUUCAAGGGACACCAUUAUAUUUUUCUGUAUUUUUCUGCCGGAAGAAGGGUUGAUUGUAACGCAAAACCGACGGCAGUUGCCUGUUUUCUGAGCGCUGUCAGCAUUUGCUAGAAGUCCCACAUUACAGAGGAGGUCCGGAGUCCGAGGCCGCAAAACCCGUACUGUAGGAAAGAAAACAGCGCUAACUACGUGAUCAGUUCAGAUAUUUGAUGAAUGAUCCUUUUAAUGGAGAAGUUGCAAAGGAAAAUCAGUUCAAUAAGAAACUGUGUGCAUGCAUUAUUUAUAGCUGUGGGUUCUUAUCAAGCUAAGGUUUCUCAAGGAAAUUAAAAACUAAGUGAAAGAUCUGUUACGUGAAAACAUAGUUUGGUAUCAUUCAUAUGCUUCAGUCCUGAACAAAAGUAUACAGUUAUUCUCAAAACACUUUCACAGAUUCAAUUUAUGAAGCAUUUCAUAUCUUCUCCCUAAAUGAAUAAUGCAUUUGCAACAGUCUGGUGAUUUCUUUAAGUAGGAAUAAGUAUAUUCCAACAGAG